rnacentral:rRNA from 1 species
GAUGAACGCUGGCGGCGUGCCUAAUACAUGCAAGUCGAGCGAACAGACGAGGAGCUUGCUCCUUCGACGUUAGCGGCGGACGGGUGAGUAACACGUAGGUAACCUACCUAUAAGACUGGGAUAACUUCGGGAAACCGGAGCUAAUACCGGAUAAUAUUUCGAACCGCAUGGUUCGAUAGUGAAAGAUGGCUUUGCUAUCACUUAUAGAUGGACCUGCGCCGUAUUAGCUAGUUGGUAAGGUAACGGCUUACCAAGGCAACGAUACGUAGCCGACCUGAGAGGGUGAUCGGCCACACUGGAACGGAGACACGGUCCAGACUCCUACGGGAGGCAGCAGUAGGGAAUCUUCCGCAAUGGGCGAAAGCCUGACGGAGCAACGCCGCGUGAGUGAUGAAGGUCUUCGGAUCGUAAAACUCUGUUAUUAGGGAAGAACAAACGUGUAAGUAACUGUGCACGUCUUGACGGUACCUAAUCAGAAAGCCACGGCUAACUACGUGCCAGCCGCCGCGGUAAAAC